rnacentral:rRNA from 2 species
UACAUGCAGUCGAGCGAAUGGAUUAGAGCUUGCUCUUAUGAAGUUAGCGGCGGACGGGUGAGUAACACGUGGGUAACCUGCCCAUAAGACUGGGAUAACUCCGGGAAACCGGGGCUAAUACCGGAUAACAUUUUGAACUGCAUGGUUCGAAAUUGAAAGGCGGCUUCGGCUGUCACUUAUGGAUGGACCCGCGUCGCAUUAGCUAGUUGGUGAGGUAACGGCUCACCAAGGCAACGAUGCGUAGCCGACCUGAGAGGGUGAUCGGCCACACUGGGACUGAGACACGGCCCAGACUCCUACGGGAGGCAGCAGUAGGGAAUCUUCCGCAAUGGACGAAAGUCUGACGGAGCAACGCCGCGUGAGUGAUGAAGGCUUUCGGGUCGUAAAACUCUGUUGUUAGGGAACGAACCAAGUGCUAGUUGAAUAGCUGGCACCUUGAACGGUACCUAACCAGAAAGCCACGGUUAACUACGUGCCAGCAGCCGCGGUAAUACGUAGGUGGCAAGCGUAUCCGGAAUUAUGGGCGUAAAGCGCGCGCAGGUGGUUUCUUAAGUCUGAUGUGA